GGCCUGAUGGUCUAGUAGUAUGAUUCCUUGUUAGGGUUCUGGCAUUGAUUGUUCUGGACGCCAUUAUAUCUAUCGAGGAGGUCCCGGGUUCAAUUCCCGGUCAGGCCC